rnacentral:ncRNA from 1 species
GUUUCAGGGCGGGGUGCAAGUCCCCACCGGCGGUAUAGCCCGCGACCACAUCCAGCGAUGGGUGUGCUGAUCUGGUGAAAGUCCAGAGCCGACGGUAAUAGUCCGGAUGAAAGAAA